GGGCGAAUGGUCUAGGGGUAUGAUAUUCGCUUUGCAUAGUCUCGUCGUCGUGAGAAUACAUGAUGAAAGAGCACACUGCCUGCGAAGGGUCCGGGGUUCAAAUCCCCGUUCGUCCA